AAUUUCUUGUCAACUCCCUCCUGCACACAGACAGAAAGAAAUUCCCAUUGCAGGGGGUCGUGAGUCUCUGGCGAAGGAGCCAGGGUUACCAGACAAGUGCCUGGCCGUACAGGAGCUCCAGCAUGUUCCGGACGAUGUUGAACUCCAGCGCCCCCUUCCUCUUCAGCACUUUCUGUAAAAAACACCUGGGGACAAGCGGAGAUAUUCCUCAGAGAAAAAGACACACCUCACACAUUGGGGUGGUGAGGGAGGGGCCGCCAAGUGUGUCUAACCAGAAGGUUGUUAGUUCUAAUCCCUGGAAGGAUCCUGCUGCAGGACCCGUCAGCAAGGUGCUUAACCUCACUUAUUUGAAAUAUCCAGCUAUGGAACUAAUUGUUAGAAGUGGACUGUUCUCCAGAAAGAACAAAGGAUUUUGUUUCAACCAACAGUUGAGUAUUAAAUGUUAGUCACGGAGUAUUCAGCUUGUUGGUUGAGAGAAAAUACUGGUCUGUUUUUUUUUACUUUCUGCGCCUCUCCACCUUGGUUCAUUGUCAGCUAAAAAUGCAUGAAUAAAGCUGGCUUGUCAAUGCACAUGGACUAGCAGGGAAUGUUCCCUAUCAGUCCUGUGGGAUUGUCAGCUAAAUUUAACCUGAA